UACGUAGGGCGCAAGCGUUGUCCGGAAUUAUUGGGCGUAAAGAGCUCGUAGGCAGUCUGUCGCGUCUGUUGUGAAAACUCGAGGCUCAACCUCGGGCUUGCAGUGGAUACGGGCAGACUAGAGUGCGGUAGGGGAGACUGGAAUCCUGGUGUAGCGGUGGAAUGCGCAGAUAUCAGGAGGAACACCGAUGGCGAAGGCAGGUCUCUGGGCCGAAACUGACGCUGAGGAGCGAAAGCGUGGGGAGCAAACAGG
rnacentral:rRNA from 1 species